rnacentral:lncRNA from 1 species
AUAUCAAGUAAGACGCCACUUACCCUUAUUAAUAUCUGUUAUCUCAGCAUCAAUGUGAUUAUUAGAGUAAUUAGAAAUUGAGCAGUUAACCGACGAAUUCCAGUACAAAACAAGACCACCACUCUGACCUUGUUUAUUCACAGUAAAACAGAAAUCAAACCCCAGAACAUACUUUAAUUCCUCAGUUUUAUUACUUGUAGAGAUAGUUUCACAAAGAUAGAGGAUAUCCGGUUUAUAAACACGGAUAAGGUAUUUUAAACUAGGAAUUGUAUGGGGACUACCUAACCCCCCUACAAUUCCAACUAAUUAUUUUCAUGGCUGCUGGCGGGGCUGAUUUUCAGCCUCCGCCAUUACAAUUGUUUUAGUAAAUAAAGGGUUGUUUUGCAGAGUUACAGAGUUCACUUCAGCAGCACUACCUUCAUUCACAUAGUCCAGCACCAUAUCACUUGCUUCCUGUUCAAGUACAGCCACCAUGCUUUCAUUAUCUGCCUGAGUUGUACUUGGGCGAAUUCUCUUUUUCACAGCAG